UAGAAGUCGUGACAGCAAACUGAUAUGUGACACAUAUUAAUGCCAAAAUAACUUGCAAAACAGGCAAAGUUGCCUCUGUGUGUAUAUAUAUAUAUAUCAAGUAUGCUUUAUGCGAUAUCUAUAUGUGAUACACCCUUUCCAAAACCUAAAUCUAACAGAGAGAAGUGUAGUUUGUGUAUAAAAAAUUUGUGGACGACUUCAUUCACAGUUGAACACAACAAGCAAGAUAGCUAAUGAAGGACACGUUUGCUCCAAGGAUGUGGAGUUCAAGCCUGUGCCACUGAAAGCCAGAGACGAUGAGGAGUACACGCUGGCCCUGUAACAGGAGAUGACGGAAACCAUGAGUCGACUACCCAACAUCAGGCCUCUGGCUAGGAAAGGAAGUUGAAAAGAAUGUAAAAUCAAAUGAAGAAAGAAAAUGACUAGAGAAGAAGAAAUUGGAGGAGUUGUACAAGGAGGAUUUAGAAGAGGUAACUCUCCCCCUCAUUGUAACAGAAGCACAAUUUGAUCUGAUUCACUUUAGUAGUCAACUUCUAUCACACAAUGUAUUAGAUUUCAAAUAGAUACAAGUUGUUCGCCUGCACACUUCCAUACAAUUACUGUGUUUGGUACUGAGGCAUCUCAGAUAGUUUCUGGGGAUGAUAAAUGGCAUGCAUUUGUAAUGCUGGAAGAUCACGAUGUGAAAUAUGAGGCAUUGGAUUGCUACUUAUGCAUGCACAUAACAUUCACACACACCAAUUCAGUUUAAUGGAGAAAUGCCCAGUUUAACAGCUACCUUUUUGUAGAAAAAUGACAUUGCAAUUUUAAUGAUGAUUUUGGUGUAGUGAGGACAUGGAUGAAGCCUCAUAUUUAACCUCUGACUGCAUGUUAAUGGAUACUGGCUGAAUGUCAUUCUUCCAAAUGUAUGUUUUUCCUGAAAGUUAUGAUCUUUUACCAAAUAGCCAUUGGCUAUA